GACGUAGGGCGCGAGCGUUGUCCGGAUUUAUUGGGCGUAAAGAGCUCGUAGGCGGUCUGUCACGUCGGCUGUGAAAACCCGAGGCUCAACCUCGGGCCUGCAGUCGAUACGGGCAAACUAGAGUACUGCAGGGGAGACUGGAAUUCCAGGUGUAGCGGUGAAAUGCGUAGAUAUCUGGAGGAACACCGGUGGCGAAGGCGGCAUCCUGGACCAACACUGACGCUGAGGAGCGAAAGCCAGGGGGAGCCAAACGGGG
rnacentral:rRNA from 1 species